UACGAAGGGUGCAAGCGUUACUCGGAAUUACUGGGCGUAAAGAGCUCGUAGGCGGUUCGUCGCGUCGGCUGUGAAAACCUGAGGCUCAACCUCAGGCCUGCAGUCGAUACGGGCGGACUUGAGUACUGCAGGGGAGACUGGAAUUCCUGGUGUAGCGGUGAAAUGCGCAGAUAUCAGGAGGAACACCGGUGGCGAAGGCGGGUCUCUGGGCCACUACUGACGCUGAGAAGCGAAAGCAUGGGGAGCGAACAGG
rnacentral:rRNA from 1 species